rnacentral:rRNA from 1 species
ACUCGGCGGCGUACGGGCGCGCGCCUCGAUGCGUGUCGAUCGUUAACGCGACUCUGCGCGCACGGGACGCGUCCGUCGACGUCCGCCGACGGCGUGCACUUCUCUCUUAGUAAUGCAUCGCGACCCGUUCGCGGUCGGCAUAAGCGCCUUACGGGAGUCCGCGGGUGGGCGUUUCGGCGUCCGCCUUCGUACCGUGAUCGGGCCUGCUGGCCGGCCGUUACGGACGGUAUAAAGGAUGGUUAAUACGCUUUCAAAGCGAAUCGCGCACGCGUUUAACGCGUCCGGCCCGACAGAAAGUUUACGUCACGUAGCCUAUGUCCUGCCUUAGUGCGGACGUCUGCUCGGCGUUGCUAUUUGUCACUGCCGUGCAGUCUCGGACUGUGCGCGUCUCCGUCUGCGAUGAUUCUGUUUCGGGCACUCGCAGGACCCGUCUUGAAACACGGACCAAGGAGUCUAGCAUGUGUGCGAGUCAUUGGGUUUGAAUUCAAUUGACAAAACCGAAAGGCGUAACGAAAGUGAAGGCGCGCGCUCGCCGCGCGCUCAGGGAGGAUGGAGCCCCGGUCCAGAUCGGUCUCUCGCACUCCCGAGGCGUCUCGUUUCCAAUCAGUGAAUGUAGGCGCGCUCUGAGCACAGAUGCUGGGACCCGAAAGAUGGUGAACUAUGCCUGGUCAGGUCGAAGUCAGGGGAAACCCUGAUGGAGGACCGUAGCGAUUCUGACGUGCAAA